AGUGAACGCUGGCGGUAGGCCUAACACAUGCAAGUCGAACGGCAGCACAGGAGAGCUUGCUCUCUAGGUGGCGAGUGGCGGACGGGUGAGGAAUACAUCGGAAUCUGCCCAGUCGUGGGGGAUAACGUAGGGAAACUUACGCUAAUACCGCAUACGACCUUCGGGUGAAAGAGGGGGAUCGCAAGACCUCUCGCGAUUGGAUGAGCCGAUGUCGGAUUAGCUAGUUAGCGGGGUAUUGGCCCACCAAGGCGACGAUCCGUAGCUGGUCUGAGAGGAUGAUCAGCCACACUGGAACUGAGACACGGUCCAGCCUCCUACGGGAGGCAGCAGUGGGGAAUAUUGGAGAAUGGGCGCAAGCCUGAUCCAGCCAUACCGCGUGGGUGAAGAAGGCCUUCGGGUUGUAAAGCCCUUUUGUUGGGAAAGAAAUCUUUCAGGCUAAUACCCUGAGAGGAUGACGGUACCCAAAGAAUAAGCCCCGGCUAACUUCGUG
rnacentral:rRNA from 1 species